rnacentral:tRNA from 1 species
GCCGAGAUAGCUCAGUUGGUAGAGCAGCUGAUUCGUAAUCAGCAGGUCGUCGGUUCGAAUCCGAUUCUCGGCUCCA